UACGAAGGGGGCUAGCGUUGUUCGGAAUUACUGGGCGUAAAGCGCACGUAGGCGGACUUGUAAGUCAGGGGUGAAAUCCCGGGGCUCAACCUCGGAACUGCCUUUGAUACUGCAAGUCUCGAGUCCGGAAGAGGUGAGUGGAAUUCCUAGUGUAGAGGUGAAAUUCGUAGAUAUUAGGAAGAACACCAGUGGCGAAGGCGGCUCACUGGUCCGGUACUGACGAUGAGGUGCGAAAGCGUGGGGAGCAAACAGG
rnacentral:rRNA from 1 species